UGCGAGCGUUGUCCGGAAUCACUGGGCGUAAAGGGCGCGUAGGCGGCAUGAUAAGUAGGGGGUGAAAUCCUGCGGCUUAACCGCAGGGCUGCCUUCUAAACUGUCAGGCUCGAGCACAGUAGAGGCAGGUGGAAUUCCCGGUGUAGCGGUGGAAUGCGUAGAGAUCGGGAAGAACAGCAGUGGCGAAGGCGGUCUGCUGGGCCGUUGCUGACGCUGAGGCGCGACAGCGUGGGGAGCAAACAGG
rnacentral:rRNA from 1 species